UACGUUUAUUUGCUCAAUAGAUGCCCCGCCCACAACAUGCAGAAUGAUGCAGCGAAGAAAGAAAUCAAUCGGCUUAGGGCGGAGGAAUAAAGAGCAGCAGGCCCAGGGACCUCUUCCUCCCACCCACCCCUUGAGGCAGCCGUGAUCUUCCCAUGCCCUUGGCAGGAGGGGCGAGAAAGUAUUAUUCCUCCAGAAUGACAGGAAUGCUCUGAAAUCACCACCCCAGCUCAAAACCAGAGCCACAUUGGCUAUGAGGCCUUAGAAGACUCCACGGUUUCCAUCUGAAGGAAUCUGUGUGCCUAUUUCCUGUAGGUCCAAUGGGCCUGAGCUCUUCCUCGGGUUGACUGACCUUCUGAAAACUCACAGCCAUGCCCAGUCAAAGGUGCAGCAUCUCAGCUGGUUGGACAAAACCCAUAAACAUACGCAGGCUAGGCACAUCCAGCAAAUAUCCUCAGCUGAUGACCCAGGCUUGCCCAGUCUAUUUAAUGUUCCCAAGGAACGCGCUGCCAGGACAUGCUUCCCUUAUGGCAGCCAUGGAAGAGUGAAGAACAAUGGCCCUAUCUGUGGCUCCCACAUCACCUUUGCAAAGGAGAAGCUGGUGACAACUGAAUGCUGGGAGGCAAAAGUAACUCACAAAGUUGAGCUCAGAGCUAAUUUGCAGCAGAAGGUAAAGAUUAUGCAGCAUCUGACCCAAGAGAGAAUAGGCAAAGCUGGCUCUACCAGUCCCAAGAAAACUUCUCUGAUGUGCGGAGCUGCAGACUGACCUGCUUGCUGCAGUGUGUGUCCACCCCCAGACUACCCUGUUAUCAAACCAACGUUUCACAAUUCUCUAGGCUUUUUCCUCCUGUGGUUGUGACAAAGCGAACUCUGGCAUGCGUCAGCCAGGAAAAGCACCCACAAGCCACGCUGUCCUUACUAGGGGAACUUCUUGGGUCUCUCCAUUCACACCAGGACCAGGAAAAAAUGAGUCUGGUGCCUUCCCAAAGGCCUCGUCUACACUAGAAAAGGUUUGCCAGUAGAGCUAUCCAUAC
rnacentral:lncRNA from 1 species